AGCGGCGCACGGGUGAGUAACGCGUACACGACCUACCUCUAACAGGGGGAUAGCCCUGGGAAACUGGGAUUAAUACCGCAUAUAAUUCUGAAUAAUAAAGGUUUGGAAUGAAAGCUGAGGCGGUUAGAGAUGGGUGUGCGUCUGAUUAGCUAGUUGGUGGGGUAACGGCCUACCAAGGCGAUGAUCAGUAGGGGGCGUGAGAGCGUGGUCCCCCACACGGGUACUGAGACACGGACCCGACUCCUACGGGAGGCAGCAGUAAGGAAUAUUGGUCAAUGGGCGAAAGCCUGAACCAGCCAUCCAGCGUGCAGGAAGAAGGCCCUAUGGGUUGUAAACUGCUUUUAUCAGGGAAGAAACCUCUGGAUUUACUCCGGAGCUGGCGGUACCUGAAGAAUAAGCACCGGCUAACUCCGUGCCAGCAGCCGCGGUAAUACGGAGGGUGCGAGCGUUAUCCGGAAUUACUGGGUUUAAAGGGUGCGUAGGCGGCUUUGUAAGUCAGGAGUGAAAGUUUGCGGCUCAACCGUAAAAUUGCUUUUGAUACUGCAGAGCUAGAAUCAGGAUGAGGUUAGCGGAAUGUGGCAUGUAGCGGUGAAAUGCAUAGAUAUGCCAUAGAACACCAAUUGCGAAGGCAGCUGGCUAGACCUGCAUUGACGCUGAGGCACGAAAGCGUGGGGAGCGAACAGGAUUAGAUACCCUGGUA
rnacentral:rRNA from 1 species